rnacentral:lncRNA from 1 species
NNNGGGAGGGGGGGGCAGCCCUGCAGGCACCACCGCGUGUCCCGCAGUGCGGCCACGGCCCCCCCAGGCCGGGCGCUGGGGUCCCAUGCCCCGCAGGUGGCCGUCCCGGCCUCGCCGCGCUGCGGUUUGCGUUCAUGCCCCCACGAGCUCCUCAGCAGCGCGCUGCCUUCGAGCAGCAGCGAGAUGCAAAUUCCUCUGGGGUGGGGGGAGUAUUUUUGUUUUUCCCUGAGACCAAAUUUAGCCCCCGCGGGUGCCUGGUGCAUUUGCGCUCGUUUUAAUAAUGAAAACAGGAACAAUGCCAUUUACUAAGAAAAUAACCCCCAGGUUUCCCCUCGGUCCCCAGCCAGCAAAUUCCUGCCGGAAAAGAGAAUCCGCUCUGCACCCCCGGAGCAGCAUCUGCCGGGGGUGGCCUGGGUGGCAGCGUGGGGACAGCAGGACCUGGGGACAGCAGGACUGGGGACAGGAGCCCUGCCCUGUGCUCCCGGGGGUCACCGAAGAAAGCCCCUGCCAGGGUUUGGUCCUGGGUGCAGCUGCGGUGACAUCUGUGGAGAUGUGUCACAGAGGGGACGUGGGGCAGGGGGCGUCCACCAAAGGCCCCCGUCUUGUGCUGGAGACCCCAGAGAUGUGCAGGUUUAAUCCUGCCACUGCAGGAGGAGGCCGUGGCUGGGGGCGAUGCUGGGGCUGGGGCUGGUCCCAAGCACGGGCUUGGCUCCCAGGGCACUUGGCCCCUCGCUGGGGCUGGUUUUGGUGGGGUUGUGUCCUGUUGGGGGGGGGGUCUCCAUUUUCAGGGGUUUCAGCCCCCUGCCACCCCGCUCAGAUGUGCAAAGUGCUGAACUGCCUCAACCAUCUGCAGGGGGAAACUGAGGCACAGGGGCUGAAGCAGGGAAUUUCCUCCCAGGGUCCCAGGUCUCCUGUCCCUGGCUGUGGGGGGCUGCCUGGGGUGACAGCGGGGGGGCUCCUGGCUCUCCCUUCCUGGCCCCACGGUGGGGGGACACCGGUGCUGAGCUGGAGUCCCGCUGUGCCUCCCAGGGAGGGCAGCGUCCCCGGUGUCACCUUACUGCGGGGAAUCAAGGACGGGACAUCCUGGGGACCGAGCCACAGCUCCAAGGUCGGGGUCCCUCGUCCCGCGGUGGCCCCGUCGGGACCUGUGCUGGGGGGGCAAUGGCACAGCGGGGAGCCCAGCACCGCCGCGCUGAUCCCGCAGCGGGGGGUGCCUGUGAAUUUAUCCUCGCCGGCGAUGGUACAAGGGAAUGAAUUAGCACGUCGUGACGUCAGGGAGCACAUGUGCUGCAGCACUUUCUGCCCCCCCCCCCGUUUAUGAGGCGCUCCCCCCUUGAUGCACGCCCUCCAGCCUUUAUUUUUCUUCCUAUAAAUAUUUUCUGGAAAUUUCCUUGUUUUCUUUCUUGUUCUCACGCAGGAACUCGGCGGGGUGAUUCCUGCUCGCAGCUUCGGGGAGGGGGCAGCUGCGCCCUGGCAG